UGUCGGUGACACGCAGCGGCAGCGCUUUUGGUUUCGUUUUCGUCUACUGUGCAGUGGCCAGUGAGCAUUCUACAGCCAUCUCUUUCUCUCCCAUGCUUCAUAAGCUGUUGACCAGAUUCUAAACUAAAUUGUGAUAAGUGGCAGUCUGGCUGGUUAUUUGAGGCCACCAAAGAGGAGGAGUAUCUUUCUUUAAGAUCUAUGUACCACUGCCAGAAGUAGUACCAAUAGAAAAGAGACAGAAACUUUGUAGCGGAGAAGAGGAUCCAUCAAAAAGGGAUAAGUGGAUGUGCUUUUAGGAUGUGCCAGCAGCGAAAAAGUUUAUACGUAGAUUAACUACAACCGGAGAAACUAUUUCAAAUAACUGCAAAAUGAUUGACAACGAUGAG